rnacentral:rRNA from 1 species
UACGAAGGGGGCAAGCGUUGUUCGGAAUUAUUGGGCGUAAAGGGAGCGUAGGCGGUUCGGCAAGUCUUUAGUGAAAUCUCUGGGCUCAACUCAGAGUCUGCUGGAGAAACUGCCGGGCUGGAGUAUGGGAGAGGUGAGUGGAAUUCCUGGUGUAGCGGUGAAAUGCGUAGAUAUCAGGAGGAACACCGGUGGCGAAAGCGCUCAUCUGGCCCAAUACUGACGCUGCAGCGCGAAAGCUAGGGGAGCAAACGGG